rnacentral:snRNA from 1 species
GGACUCUGCUUGUUUCAGUAGCCCAUAUACUAAAAUAGGAACAAUGCAGAGAAGAUUAGCACAGCCCCCGCACAAGGCUGACACAUAAAUUCAUGAAGGAUUAGAGACAAAA